rnacentral:rRNA from 1 species
AGAGUUUGAUCCUGGCUCAGGAUGAACGCUGACAGAAUGCUUAACACAUGCAAGUCGAUGGGGAAGUGGUGCUUGCACCAUGGUAACCAUGGCGGACGGGUGAGUAACGCGUAAGGGACUUGCCCGCGGGACCGGGAUAACAGCAGGAAACUGCUGACAAGACCGGAUAAGGUCAUGGAGCCGCAUGGUUACAUGAUGAAAGGAGACGCCUGCGGAGAGCCUUGCGUCCUAUUAGCUAGUUGGGGGGGUAACGGCCCACCAAGGCGAAGAUAGGUAGCCGGCCUGAGAGGGUGGACGGCCACAAGGGGACUGAGAUACGGCCCUUACUCCUACGGGAGGCAGCAGUGGGGAAUAUUGGACAAUGGGGGCAACCCUGAUCCAGCAAUUCUGUGUGCACGAAGACGGUUUUCGGAUUGUAAAGUGCUUUCAGCAGGGAAGAAGGAAGUGACGGUACCUGCAGAAGAAGCGACGGCUAAAUACGUGCCAGCAGCCGCGGUAAUACGUAUGUCGCGAGCGUUAUCCGGAAUUAUUGGGCAUAAAGGGCAUCUAGGCGGCCUGACAAGUCAGGGGUGAAAACCUGCGGCUCAACCGCAGGCCUGCCUUUGAAACUGACAGGCUGGAGUACCGGAGAGGUGGACGGAACUGCACGAGUAGAGGUGAAAUUCGUAGAUAUGUGCAGGAAUGCCGAUGAUGAAGAUAGUUCACUGGACGGUAACUGACGCUGAAGUGCGAAAGCCGGGGGAGCGAACAGGAUUAGAUACCCUGGUAGUCCCGGCCGUAAACGAUGAUUACUGGGUGUGGGCAGGAAGACUGUCUGUGCCGAAGCGAAUGCGAUAAGUAAUCCGCCUGGGGAGUACGGCCGCAAGGCUGAAACUCAAAGGAAUUGACGGGGACCC